UUAGAAGCUAGAUAUUUUGUUAGUGUAAUAGUUUUUAAAAAAAAUAAUAUUGUGUAUAGAUUGCUUGAUAUUUUAACGCUCACAACUUCAACAUAAACAAAUACUCCCUCUCUAACCUUUUCAGUUUUCUCACUCAAGUUUUCAUUUCUCUCUUCCGAACUACAGAAAUGGCAGAUAACUAUGAAGGAAGCUCCAACGAAAGCAAUACUGAAGAGUUGUUGCAUUCUUAUGAGUAUCUUAUACUGAGUGAUGAACAAAAAAUUGUGGAGCGUAAUUUUCUUUACGGCGGAGUCUACCUUAUUAGAUAAUGAAACUACUUACCUUUCUAAAUAGUAAUCAACUAAAUCUAAUAAUUGUAUCUCUACACAUUGGUCCUGUUGUUGAAGGCCUGACCGACACAUAUUCUGCAACUUGAUUGUGGACGAAGUGAUCGAUUUUGGUAUAUUUCUUUUGAUAUUAAACUACUAAUCUUUUACUGCAUUUUAAACAUUAUUAUAUUUCUACACAUUGAUCCAGCUGUUAAAGGCCUGGCCGACUCUAUAUUUCUCAACUUGAUCGUGGACUAAGUGAUCGAUUUUGGUAUAAUUUCUUUUGAUACUAAACUACUACUCUUUUACUGCAUUUUAAACACUAUGAUAUCCGAUAAUAUAUCUACACAUUGAUCAAGCUGUUGAAGGCCAGACCGACUCUAUUUUCCGCAAAGACGAAGUGAUCGAUUUUGCAGUUGAAGGCGACACGAUAUUCCGCAACUUGAUCGUGGACGAAGUGAUCGAUUUUGUUGUUGAAGGCCUGGCCGAUACGAUAUUCCGCAACUUGAAUGUUGAGAUCGAAAAUGAUAUGCCAGGUGUUGUGGUUGAUGGAAAAUAGAGCUAAUGCUGGUGAUUCGAAUAGUAGAGGUUAAAUGCUUUGUUUUAUUGACUGGAAAGAGAGAAGAGAGGGAUACAAUUGGAGGGGAGGAGAAUAAUAUUUGAUUCGAUAAAAGUUUAAAAGCUAUAUGUAGCCACGAACGAGUGCAGACGGCCAAAAAAGAAAAUUUAAAAGAAAAAGUUGAUCAUAGACAUCCAUUAGCACAGAGCUUAGACCUCUCUCAUGUAUAGAGGUAAAAGAUAUGGGUUCAGGUAAAAGGGUCUUUUGAGUAGUUGAGAACCCAAAUAUUUAUUUUAGACUAUGUUGUUGUCUGCCUGUACUAAGGUGAGGGAAGCCUGUGAUUGCUUGUCAACUGUUUGAUGGAAUGCCAUACAAUAAUUUGGUUUUUUGAAAUGCAA